rnacentral:lncRNA from 1 species
UAUCCAUCAAAGAUCAUAUUGUUUUUUACAUGGUUACAUUUAUUAAUGUUUUUUAUUUAGGGAAAAAGUCUAAAUUAGUUUGUUUCACAAUAAAUAGGCAUUUGACAUGUUUUGUCCUAAAAAAAAGGGUAAUUUAGUUUAUAACGAUCAUCAUAACAAAGAAAAAUUGCAAGUUCCAAGCAAGGAUGAAAACAUGCAUUGUAAAUUCAGAAAUCAAUUCAAGUCUUAAUUAUUGUGAAUCUUUGACCCCUGGCAAAAAUGUGAUAUUCAAUAAAUUAAAUUGAAACAUUUUAUGAAGGGAAAUCGCAUCUGAAAUCAUGAAUGUAAGUGUUUAUUAUUUCCAAUUUGAUAUUCUAGCAAUUUUCCCAUUCAUAAAAACAUCACAAUAAUUUCUGAAUUUACAUUAGUGUUUGGGGAUCAGAGGCAAAGUAGUUCUUCCACUUCUAUCAACAGCCAGUUGACAUUGAGGUUGUGACUUCGAACCGGGCUCAUGACAAAGUGUUUGUUUAAAUGUUAAUUCAAUAGGAUUGCUGUUUAUCUUACUGUAAGUUGGUGGUUCCCAUCAAGUUGGCGUUUUCCAUCAAUAAAAAUUGUGUCGCUAUGACUUAACUAAGAGUGUUGAAAUUAGCAUAAAUUUAACACCAACAAUCAAUCAUGUAAUGUUAAAGUGUUUGUUUUCAAAUUUAAAUAUAAAUAUUCCUGUUUAAGGUUUGAAAACUUGACAUAUAUUGGGUAUUUUUCAUCCAGGAAUACAUGUUAGUGUUAUUGUAUUUUAUCAUUUCAAAUUAAUUUAUUUCCCAUACAUGUGUGUUGUAGUAGACUUUUGACUGUUGGUGUGUUGUUUAUUGUUAGUGCCAUUCUGUAUAAAUCUCCUACUCGGUAGUGAAAUAAAAAUAUUGAGAAUAUAUGAUUUCUUUAUUGAGCCAU